CCGAGUUAGGGUACUCUUCGUGCCCGACCUCCAACCCUUUGUCUACCCGACCAGAUGUUGCUUCGGCAGGCCCGCCGCCCCGCGAGGGGUAGCCGCCGGGGGUCCUUACCGGCCCCGGGUCCGCGCCUGUCGACGGCCCCUUCUUAAAACUCUUGUUUAAACCGUGUCGUCUGAGUAAAACAAACAAAAUAAAACA
rnacentral:misc_RNA from 1 species